CGGGGUAGAGGAAUUGGUCAACUCAUCAGGCUCAUGACCUGAAGACUGCAGGUUCGAAUCCUGUCCCCGCCUAA
rnacentral:tRNA from 1 species